rnacentral:rRNA from 1 species
GCAAGUCGAACGGCAGCAUGUCCUGCUUGCAGGAUGAUGGCGAGUGGCGAACGGGUGAGUAACGCGUAGGGAUCUGCCAUAAAGUGGGGGACAACCCGGGGAAACUCGGGCUAAUACCGCAUAUGCUCUUCGGAGUAAAGCUGGGGACCUUUUAGGCCUGGCGCUUUAUGAUGAACCUGCGUCCGAUUAGCUAGUUGGUAGGGUAAUGGCCUACCAAGGCGACGAUGGAUAGCCGGCCUGAGAGGGUGAAC